rnacentral:rRNA from 1 species
UGAGGAAUAUUGGUCAAUGGGCGCAAGCCUGAACCAGCCAUCCCGCGUGCAGGAAGACGGCGCUAUGCGUUGUAAACUGCUUUUCCAGGGGGAGAAACUUCCGUACGUGUACGGAAUUGGCGGUACCCUGGGAAUAAGCAUCGGCUAACUCCGUGCCAGCAGCCGCGGUAAUACGGAGGAUGCAAGCGUUAUCCGGAUUCAUUGGGUUUAAAGGGUGCGUAGGCGGACUAUUAAGUCAGUGGUGAAAUCCUGCAGCUUAACUGCAGAACUGCCAUUGAUACUGAUGGUCUUGAGUUUGGUUAAGGUAGGCGGAAUGUGUAAUGUAGCGGUGAAAUGCUUAGAUAUUACACAGAACACCAAUUGCGUAGGCAGCUUACUGAGCCGACACUGACGCUGAGGC